GUGCCUACGGGACGCGGCAGUGAGGAAUAUUGGUCAAUGGUCGGGAGACUGAACCAGCCAAGCCGCGUGAGGGAUGAAGGUACAGAGUAUCGUAAACCUCUUUUGUCAGGGAACAAAGGCGGGGACGCGUCCCCGGAUGAGUGUACCUGAAGAAAAAGCAUCGGCUAACUCCGUGCCAGCAGCCGCGGUAAUACGGAGGAUGCGAGCGUUAUCCGGAUUUAUUGGGUUUAAAGGGUGCGUAGGCGGUCCGGAAA
rnacentral:rRNA from 1 species